CGGACGAUUUAAAAGCCGCAAAUGUAUAACUGUAGACAGAUAUUUGGAAUAUCAAUGAGACAAACUGACGACGAGAUCAAUUUAUGUAAUUAUCUUUCAAUAAUAUAAAACUUAUAAUAAAUCGUAAACUAAGAUUUCACAUUGAAGACUUUAGAUAUCGAUUUCCGAACAAUUGUUAAAAUUUGUUAAAAAUUGUAUAAGGGCCCGGGAGUUCAAUCGGGAUGAAUCUGUAGGUAGUAAACGGUUCGCAUCAAAACCGUAUUGGAAUGUUAAUAACAAACGACUUGGAAAGAUAUAUCGGUAAAAUCAGGAUCGCAGCUAUGCAUUGAUAAUGACGUGCUCUCACAUUUUGUUGACAAAAAUGUAAAAUAUCAUAAAAACGUGCCCCGGAUUUAGGUCAGUUAGU